rnacentral:rRNA from 1 species
UAGGGAAUCUUCGGCAAUGGACGAAAGUCUGACCGAGCAACGCCGCGUGAGUGAAGAAGGUUUUCGGAUCGUAAAACUCUGUUGUUAGAGAAGAACAAGGACGUUAGUAACUGAACGUCCCCUGACGGUAUCUAACCAGAAAGCCACGGCUAACUACGUGCCAGCAGCCGCGGUAAUACGCAGGUGGCAAGCGUUGUCCGGAUUUAUUGGGCGUAAAGCGAGCGCAGGCGGUUUCUUAAGUCUGAUGUGAAAGCCCCCGGCUCAACCGGGGAGGGUCAUUGGAGACUGGGAGACUUGAGUGCAGAAGAGGAGAGUGGAAUUCCAUGUGUAGCGGUGAAAUGCGUAGAUAUAUGGAGGAACACCAGUGGCGAAGGCGGCUCUCUGGUCUGUAACUGACGCUGAGGCUCGAAAGCGUGGGGAGCAAACAGG